rnacentral:rRNA from 1 species
CCUACGGGGGGCUGCAGUGAGGAAUAUUGGUCAAUGGGCGGGAGCCUGAACCAGCCAAGCCGCGUGAGGGAAGAAGGUACAGCGUAUCGUAAACCUCUUUUGUCAGGGAACAAAGGCGGGGACUAGUCCCCGGAUGAGGGUACCUGAAGAAAAAGCAUCGGCUAACUCCGUGCCAGCAGCCGCGGUAAUACGGAGGAUGCGAGCGUUAUCCGGAUUUAUUGGGUUAAAAGGGGGCGCAGGCGGCCUGUUAAGUCAGCGGUAAAAGCCCGGGGCUCAACCCCGGCGAGCCGUUGAAACUGGCGGGCUGGAGUUGGAGAGAAGUACGCGGAAUGCGCGGUGUAGCGGUGAAAUGCUUAGAUAUCGCGCAGAACCCCGAUUGCGAAGGCAGCGUACCGGCUCCACACUGACGCUGAGGCACGAAAGCGUGGGUAGCGAACAGGAUUAGAUACCCUAGUAGUC